CGGAGCGGCUCGAGCGGUCGCUGGCGCUCGCAUUUCGGUGCGCGCGCUGGAGGAAAGUCCGAGCUCCAUAGGGCGGGAUGCCAGGUAACGCCUGGUGGGGGUGACCCCGAGGAAAGUGCCACAGAGAGCAGACCGCCGCGCGCCGAAAGGCCCACGCGGUAAGGGUGAAAGGGUGAGGUAAGAGCUCACCGGGCCGGCGGUAACGCAGGUCGCACGGCAAACCCCAUCCGGAGCAAGACCAAAUAGGAAAGCAUAGGGCUGCCCGCUCCAAGCUUUCGGGUAGUGUCGCUCGAGACCUUCGGUGACGAAGGUCCUAGAGGAAUGAUCGCUGCCCGCGUUCCGGCGACGGACGCGGGAACAGAACUCGGCUUAUGAGCUCUCCGACCA
rnacentral:RNase_P_RNA from 1 species